rnacentral:misc_RNA from 1 species
GAAUGAACUUGGUGUGGUUGUCGCUGGCCCUCUCGGGGGCAUGUGCACACCUACCAUCCUCAUCUCUCCACCUGUGCACCUCUUGUAGACUUGGAUUGACUUUCCGAGGCAACUCGGUCGGGAGGACUUGCUGGCACUAGCUGGCUUUCCUUGCAUUUCCAGGUCUACGUUUUUUCAUAUACCCCAUUGUAUGUAACAGAAUGUAUCAUUGGGCCUUGUGCCUAUAAACCUUAUACAACUUUCAGCAACGGAUCUCUUGGCUCU